rnacentral:rRNA from 1 species
GAUGAACGCUGGCGGCGUGCCUAAUACAUGCAAGUCGAGCGAACUGAUUAGAAGCUUGCUUCUAUGACGUUAGCGGCGGACGGGUGAGUAGCACGUGGGCAACCUGCCGUAAGACUGGGAUAACUUCGGGAAACCGAAGCUAAUACCGGAUAGGAUCUUCUCCUUCAUGGGAGAUGAUUGAAAGAUGGUUUCGGCUAUCACUUACAGAUGGGCCCGCGGUGCAUUAGCUAGUUGGUGAGGUAACGGCUCACCAAGGCAACGAUGCAUAGCCGACCUGAGAGGGUGAUCGGCCACACUGGGACUGAGACACGGCCCAGACUCCUACGGGAGGCAGCAGUAGGGAAUCUUCCGCAAUGGACGAAAGUCUGACGGAGCAACGCCGCGUGAGUGAUGAAGGCUUUCGGGUCGUAAAACUCUGUUGUUAGGGAAGAACAAGUACGAGAGUAACUGCUCGUACCUUGACGGUACCUAACCAGAAAGCCACGGCUAACUACGUGCCAGCAGCCGCGGUAACAC